UACGUAGGUGGCAAGCGUUGUCCGGAUUUACUGGGCGUAAAGAGCGCGCAGGCGGUCGUUCAAGUCGCGUGUGAAAGCCCCCGGCUCAACUGGGGAGGGUCACGCGAUACUGAUCGACUCGAAGGCAGGAGAGGGAAGUGGAAUUCCCGGUGUAGUGGUGAAAUGCGUAGAUAUCGGGAGGAACACCAGUGGCGAAAGCGGCUCUCUGGGGGCAACCUGACGCUGAGGCGCGAAAGCGUGGGGAGCGAACCGG
rnacentral:rRNA from 1 species